CCUACGGGGGGCAGCAGUGGGGGAUCUUGCACAAUGGGGGAAACCCUGAUGCAGCGACGCCGCGUGUGGGAAGACGGUCCUCUGGAUUGUAAACCACUGUCCCCAGGGACGAAGAUGACGGUACCUGGGGAGGAAGCUCCGGCAAACUACGUGCAAGCAGCCGCGGUAAUACGUAGGGAGCGAGCGUGGUCCGGAAUUACUGGGUGAAAGGGGAGCGUAGGGGGGGAUGAAAGUUGGGUGUCAAAACUACCGGCUCAACUGGUAGGCGCACUCAAAACUGCAGGUCUUGAGUGAAGUAGAGGCAGGCGGAAUUCCUAGUGUAGCGGUGAAAUGCGUAGAUAUUAGGAGGAACACCAGUGGCGAAGGCGGCCUGCUGGGCGUUUACUGACGCUGAGGCUCGAAAGUGUGGGGAGCAAACAGGAUUAGAUACCCGAGUAGUC
rnacentral:rRNA from 1 species